rnacentral:rRNA from 1 species
GUCUUUUUAGUUAUUUAAUAUAAAGUCUGACCUGCCCACUGAAUUGUAUGUUUAAAGGGCCGCAGUAUUUUGACUGUGCAAAGGUAGCAUAAUCAUUAGUCUUUUAAUUGAAGGCUGGUAUGAAUGGUUGGAUGAAAUACAAUCUGUGUCAUAAUAAUUAUUAUUUGAAUUUAACUUUUUAGUCAAAAGGCUAAAAUUAAAUUAAAAGACGAGAAGACCCUAUAGAGCUUUAUAUAAUAAUUAUUUAAAUUAUUAAGAUUUUUAAAAUUUAAUUAUUUUUUUAUAUUUUGUUGGGGUGACAAUAAAAUUUAUUAAACUUUUAUUUAUUUUUUACAUUUAUUUAUGAGUGUAUGAUCCAGUUUUAUUGAUUAUAAAUUUAAGUUACCUUAGGGAUAACAGCGUAAUUUUUUUUGAGAGUUCUUAUCGACAAAAAAGAUUGCGACCUCGAUGUUGGAUUAAGAGUAAUUUUGGGUGUAGAAGUUCAAAAUUUAAGUCUGUUCGACUUUUGAAUUCUUACAU